CCUACGGGAGGCAGCAGUGAGGAAUAUUGGUCAAUGGACGCAAGUCUGAACCAGCCAUGCCGCGUGCAGGAAGACGGCUCUAUGAGUUGUAAACUGCUUUUGUACGAGGGUAAACGCAGAUACGCGUAUCUGUCUGAAAGUAUCGUACGAAUAAGGAUCGGCUAACUCCGUGCCAGCAGCCGCGGUAAUACGGAGGAUUCAAGCGUUAUCCGGAUUUAUUGGGUUUAAAGGGUGCGUAGGCGGUCGGAUAAGUUAGAGGUGAAAUCCCGAGGCUCAACUUCGGAAUUGCCUUUGAUACUGGUAGGCUAGAGAGUAGUUGCGGUAGGCGGAAGGUAUGGUGUAGCGGUGAAAUGCUUAGAGAUCAUACAGAACACCGAUUGCGAAGGCAGCUUACCAAGCUACUUCUGACGUUGAGGCACGAAAGCGUGGGGAGCAAACAGGAUUAGAUACCCCGGUAGUC
rnacentral:rRNA from 1 species